GUGGAACUGAAGCGACUAGAGAGGGCUCUCAGGGGGGGGGGGAGACGAAGCACGGGUGCAACUACGACUGUAGUUAAACUUUGCCCAUGUCUAUCGUCCAGUUCACAUUUUCGGGACAGACAGCCUCGUACCCAGGCGCUUUGAUGGUAAUUGGGGAUCAGAUUUUUCUACGAUACCGCAAUACUCUUUGUCCGCGGUUUGCAUCGUAACGGCGUUACAGUUUAGCGCAUGCAACCAAACUCGUGUAUAAAACUUUUAUUCAGCUGAAUAAAAAUUGCACAAAUAUGAGCAAAAAUAAACGAAAACGACGAUUAAAGGAGGAAGAUUUUAAGAAAAAGAAGCUUAAAGUUGGUAAAAAGCUACCAAUGCCGGAUAAUGUGACCAAAACCAGUUUUAAAGCAAGAAGCAUCAACAUUUCCCAACAG